UACGUAGGGUCCAAGCGUUAUCCGGAAUCACUGGGCGUAAAGCGUGCGUAGGUGGUUUGUUAAGUGUAUUGCGAAAUCCUGUGGCUCAACCAUAUGGACUGUAAUGCAUACUGGCAAACUGGAGGAUAGCAGAGGCAAGUGGAAUUACCGGUGUAGCAGUGAAAUGCGUAGAGAUCGGUAGGAACACCAAUGGCGAAGGCAGCUUGCUGGGCUAUUUCUGACGCUAAGGCACGAAAGCGUGGGGAGCGAACAGG
rnacentral:rRNA from 1 species